rnacentral:lncRNA from 1 species
UUGUGAUGCGUCACAUAGUUCCUGGCAUGCCAUUGUCCUGAAUUCACCUACUAAUUUUACCCUCAGAGAAAGAGAGAGUCUUUGGAGAGUUGUGAGGAGAUAAGUGACAUAAACUGGCAUGUUCUGAAAGAAUCACUCUGGAUGCUGUGUGGAGAAAACACUGAAAAGAAUUCUAGAGUGAAAGUUUCAUGAAUAUAAGAAGCAAGACAAGGAAGUGGCUUAUGCUUAAGGCCUUAAAGGCAACCACUGUGACAAUCCAGCCAUUCUCUGGAGAAUUCAGCAGAAAGCCAGUUGGAAGGGGAGAAUAAUUGACUCCAUUCAAGUGUUCGCUCCUGUUUCAAUCAACUAUGGCUGAAGAGUGAGGAGACAUUUGGAAUAAAUAUGGCUUCUGGGGGCCCAUUCCUAUGGAUCAGCAGCUGGCUUCUGGAGGCCCAUUCCUGUGAAUCGUCGAUCUCAUAGAAGAUAAUAUUGUUAGAAGGCUUACCUCAUUGAUGCUGAACAUCCUAAAAAGCUUCUGCUGCUUUGAGUCACUGAAAAAGACCAAGAAACAUGAAUUUAAAAAAAAAUUUCAAAUGUUAUAAAAUAAAUAAUAUGAACUCAUUAUACCUACAAUGAAUAAUUUAAAUUCUUCUUUGGUAGUCCAGCAUAGGUUUAGAAACUAUGAAAACCCUAGAAGAAAACCUAGGCAAUGCCAUUCAGGACAUAGGCACGGACAAAGAUUUCAUGACGAAGACGCCAAAAACAACUGCAACAAAAGCAAAAAUUGACAGAUGGGAUCUCAUUAAACUAAAGAGCUUCCAUACAGCAAAAGAAGCUACCAUGAGAGUGAACAGACAACCUAUAGAAAGGGAGAAAAAUUUUGCAAUCUGUUCAUCUGACAAAGGUCUAAUAUCCAGCAUCUACAAGGAACUUAAAUAAAUUUACAAGAAAAAAACAAACCCAUUAGAAAAUGGGCAAAGGACAUGAAAAGAUACUUCUCAAAAGACAUACAUGUGGCCAACAAUCAUACAAAAAAAACCUCAACAUCACUGAUGAUUAGAAAAAUGCUAAUCAAAACCACAACGAGAUACCAUCUCAUACCUGUCAGAAUGGCUAUUAAUAAAAAGUUAAAAAACAACAGAUGCUGGUGAGGUUGUUGAGAAAAAGGAAUACUGUUAUACUGUUGGUGGGAAUGUAAAUUAGUUCAACCAUUGUGGGAGACAGUGUGGCAUUUCCUCAAAGACCUAGAGGCAGAAAUACCAUUUGACUCAGCAAUCACGUUACUGGAUAUAUACCCAAAGGAAUAUAAAUCAUUCUAUUAUAAAGAUACAUGCAUGCGCAUGUUCACUGCAGCAUUAUUCACAAUAGCAAAGACAUGGAAUCAACCCAAAUGCCCAUCAAUAACACACUAGAUAAAGAAAAUGUGGUAUAUAUACACCAUGGAAUACUAUUCAGCCAUAAAAAGGAAUGAAAUCAAGUCCUUUGCAGGAACAUGAAUGAAGCUGAAGGCCAUCAUCUUCAGCAAACUAACACAGGAACAGAAAAUAAAAUACCACAUAUUCUCACUUACAACUGGGAGCUGAAUGAUGAGAACAUAUGGACACAUAUAGGGGCACAACACACACUGGGGCCUGUUGGAGGGUGCUGGGGGGAGGAGGCAGAGCAUCAGGAAGAAUAGCUAAUGGAUUCUGGGCUUAAUACCUAAGUGAUGAGAUGAUCUGUGCAGCAAACUACCAUAGUACAUGUUUACCUAUGUAACAAACCUGUACGUCCUGCACAUGUACCCCUGAACAUUAAAA